AUCAAGGUUCAAAACAAAGCCCUAAUCGCCUACAUCUCCCUCUUUCUCUCUCGGCGGUAAUUCAGCCGCCCACUACUCAAUUUCCGGCCAGCGACGAGCCGUCACCACCACCGACGACUCCAGUGGGUCGAAAUCAACCUAGCAGGCGCCGUCGAUGGCCUGGUGUAGUCAGCACGGCACAGCGGCGUCGCUGCUGUCUCAGGUAUCUCUUCGCAGGACUCCCUCCGCCGGCGCCUUUCGUCACUGGUGUCGCACCGCAGGGAGAGAAGAGGAUGCUUCGUCUCUUCCCCUCUCUGCAGAUACCCCCGGCCGAGCAGCUGCUUCCCGGUGACGUCUGCACUGCCGUCCGCCCUCGCCGGAUCCCGACCGACCCUGAACUAAUAACUGGUUAUGAGAUUUGUGGGGCUGCCAUCGCUGUCUCCGGGCUGUCGGGAGCUUAUCCGGCAGAUUUACACCAUGAGAUGCGUUUCCCUAACCUAUGCUUGCUUUAGUUUAUCUAUUUUAUAGGUUGAAACUUUGAGAAAUUUCCCUUACUUGCUGGAAGUUGUUUAGUUGCUUAUAGGAAUGUGUUUAUAAAUCGAAACGUGGCUGAUAUUGCUAAGCUUUAAGCUAUAGAAGUUGCUACCUAAGUUACUGAGUUUGAAUUGGAAGGCAGCCACGUUUUGUUCUGUUGGUUACAUUAUGUUAUAUAGCUCUAAACCUCGUUAUACUCGUUUCUUGCUACUGGUUUUCUUGGGGUUUAGCAUGCUAAAUGAGGUCGCUACGUUGUGGUGCCUCUACAUGUUGUUAAGAGGUAGUAUGGUUACCUGAAUCCGCGGCUGGUUUGCAUCAGCUCCUAGAUCUUAGCUCCCUUACUCCUUUGAUUGUUGUGUUGCUGGAGAAGUUCUAAAUGCAUGGGAGUGUUCUUAGGUAGAGUGGGGAGGGUCUUUAUAGCUAAAACCGUGUACGUAGUGAAACAUUAAUUUGGUUGUUGCAUGUUUUGUUCCCAUUCCUCAGCAGGUACUCAAUCUAUGGCCUUUGCAGCCAGUUUAACCGACUUUGCAGGUGUACAACAAGGGUGGAAUGGUGGUUAACUGCAGCUUUGCAAAGCUGCUGCAGUUGUAAGGGCUGGCGUUGCAGAGUGUACCAUUGGAGGCUGCAAAAUUUGGUUAGGGACGGAAGUGCAGGGCUGCUGUGGCUGUGGCCUUUCCUUAGCUCGUAGCCGCUGGACCUGGGCUGGGAGUGCAGGCUGCUGCACACUGCAGGCUGCCCUGCUGCCCCUUUCCUUUUCUAUGAAGCAUGACUUGGAGAGAAAUAGUCUAUCGCGCGGUCUGGAAAAUCUCGGUCCAACGGCCGCUCCGGACAUGGGUCGUGAAGUGUGGUAUGGCUCAAAAGAGAGGCCAGCGCCUUACCUCUUUAUAUACCUUCCUUUUGUAGGCAUAAAUAUUUAAGUUUAUGUAAUAGAUAUUUUUAGAAAGAAUACAUAUUUAAGUUAUGUAAUAGAUUCUUUUAGAAAGAAUCAAGUUCUUAGUAUUUUUCUUGUACCGAGUGUGUAUUGUUAAAUCGGAGAAAUAAAUAGACGCCAACUUGUUUUA